UUUAAGUGCAACCACGAGUUUUCGUACCUAACUUUUGAUCGUCUAUUUUAUUUAAUUUUUUUUAUAAUUAGCAUUUUUAUUGUUUUUAAUUUUUUUAAGAUAAGAUGGAAGAUCAAAAUUAGAUAAAAAAAUCAUGACUGCAUUUAAA
rnacentral:pre_miRNA from 1 species